UAGGGAAUCUUCGGCAAUGGACGGAAGUCUGACCGAGCAACGCCGCGUGAGUGAAGAAGGUUUUCGGAUCGUAAAGCUCUGUUGUAAGAGAAGAACGAGUGUGAGAGUGGAAAGUUCACACUGCGACGGUAUCUUACCAGAAAGGGACGGCUAACUACGUGCCAGCAGCCGCGGUAAUACGUAGGUCCCGAGCGUUGUCCGGAUUUAUUGGGCGUAAAGCGAGCGCAGGCGGUUAGAUAAGUCUGAAGUUAAAGGCUGUGGCUUAACCAUAGUAGGCUUUGGAAACUGUUUAACUUGAGUGCAAGAGGGGAGAGUGGAAUUCCAUGUGUAGCGGUGAAAUGCGUAGAUAUAUGGAGGAACACCGGUGGCGAAAGCGGCUCUCUGGCUUGUAACUGACGCUGAGGCUCGAAAGCGUGGGGAGCAAACAGGAUUAGAUACCCUGGUAGUCCACGCUGUAAACGAUGAGUGCUAGGUGUUAGACCCUUUCCGGGGUUUAGUGCCGUAGCUAACGCAUUAAGCACUCCGCCUGGGGGGUACGACCGCAAGGUUG
rnacentral:rRNA from 1 species